rnacentral:piRNA from 1 species
UUAUUGCAUGUCAGUUAUGGCCCAGUCAGU